rnacentral:rRNA from 1 species
GAUGAACGCUAGCGACAGGCUUGACACAUGCAAGUCGAGGGGCAGCACGGGAGUAGCAAUACAACUGGUGGCGACCGGCGCACGGGUGAGUAACGCGUAUGCAACCUACCUAUCAGAGGGGAAUAACCCGGCGAAAGUCGGACUAAUACCGCAUAAAACAGGGGCACCGCAUGGUGAUAUUUGUUAAAGAAAUUCGCUGAUAGAUGGGCAUGCGUUCCAUUAGGUAGUUGGUGAGGUAACGGCUCACCAAGCCGACGAUGGAUAGGGGAACUGAGAGGUUGGUCCCCCACACUGGUACUGAGGCACGGACCAGACUCCUACGGGAGGCAGCAGUGAGGAAUAUUGGUCAAUGGGCGGGAGCCUGAACCAGCCAAGUCGCGUGAAGGAAGAAGGAUCUAUGGUUCGUAAACUUCUUUUGCAGGGGAAUAAAGUGCAGGACGUGUCCUGUUUUGUAUGUACCCUGAGAAUAAGGAUCGGCUAACUCCGUGCCAGCCGCCGCGGUAA